rnacentral:rRNA from 1 species
GUGGGGUGACGGCGUGCCUAUCGAAAAAUGAGUCUGCGAGUCAGUGGCAUGUGGCGAGCAUAACCCGUGUGGGGUAUGCGUAGCGAAGGCGAGUCUUAAAAGGCGUUUGAGUCGCGUGUCCUGGACCCGAAGCGGGAUGAUCUAGCCCUGAGCAGGUUGAAGCGCGGGUAAGACCGCGUGGAGGACCGAACCCACCUGGGUUGAAAACCGGGGGGAUGACUUGGGGCUAGGGGUGAAAGGCCAAUCAAAUUCCGUGAUAGCUGGUUCUCUCCGAAAUGCAUUUGGGUGCAGCGUCGGGUCAUUACGUCCCGGGGGUAGAGCUACUGGAUGCUUGCGGGCCCGUAUCGGGUACCAACAGCAACCAAACUCCGAAUACCGGUGACGCGUAUCCCGGCAGUGAGUCGGCGGGGGAUAAGCUUCGUCGUCGAAAGGGAAACAGCCCAGACCGUCGUCUAAGGUCCCGAAGCGUGUGCUAAGUGGGAAAGGAUGUGGAGUCGCAUAGACAGCCAGGAGGUUGGCUCAGAAGCAGCCACCCUUGAAAGAGUGCGUAACAGCUCACUGGUCUAGUGGUUCCGCGCCGACAAUGUAGCGGGGCUCAAGCACACCACCGAAGACGCGGCAGUAUUUUGUACUGGGUAGGAGAGCGUCCCGUGAGGGGCGAAGCGGCCGUGUGAACGCGCCGUGGACUUCAUGGGAGUGAGAAUGCAGACAUGAGUAGCGAGAGACGGGUGAAGAUCCCGUCCGCUGGAUGACCAAGGGUUCCAGGGCCACGUUCAUCGUCCCUGGGUGAGUCGGGUCCUAAGGCGAGGCCGACAGGCGUAGUCGAAUGGAUGAACGGGUCGAUAUUCCCGUACCGGCUUUCAGCCGCCAAAACCGAGGCUUGGAGUACUAACCUCCGGGUCCGGGCUUACUGCUCCUUCGGGGGCGGGAUGCCCUGGCCUGUUGGGACCGAUCCUUGUAGUAGGUCAGCGCAGGAGUGACGCAGAAGGGUAGCCGGCCGCGGAGGUGGUCUUCCGUGGUCAAGCACGCAGGGCGUGGGACAGGCAAAUCCGUCCCGCAUGGGUCCGAGGUGCGAUGAUGGGGGCCUUAUGGCCCGAUAUCCGGUGAUCCCGGCUGCCGAGAAAAGCUUCGGCGUCAGGCUCAAAGCCGCCCGUACCCCAAACCGACACUGGUGGUCAGGUAGAGAAUACCAAAGCGAUCGAGCGAAUCCUGGUCAAGGAACUCGGCAAAUCACUCCCGUUCCUUCGGUUUAAGGGAGACCCCCGAUGGUGAACACACUUGCUGUGGGAGCUUUUGGGGGUGGCACAGACCAGGGGGUAGCGACUGUUUACCAAAAACACAGGUGCAUGCGAAGGCGCAAGCCGCUGUAUAUGCACUGACGCCUGCCCGGUGCCGGAAGGUUAAGAGGAUCCGUCAGCCUUCGGGUGAAGCGGUGAAUUCAAGCCCCGGUAAACGGCGGUGGUAACUAUAACCAUCCUAAGGUAGCGAAAUUCCUUGUCGGGUAAGUUCCGACCUGCACGAAUGGCGUAACGACUUCCCCACUGUCUCGACCAGGAGCUCGGCGAAAUUGCAGUACGAGUAAAGAUGCUCGUUAAGCGCAGAAGGACGAAAAGACCCCGGGACCUUUACUAUACCUUGGUAUUGGCAUUCGGUGUGGAUUGUGUAGCAUAGGCGGGAGGCCGAGAGGCGCGGUCGCCAGAUCGCGCGGAGCCGUAAGGUGAAAUACCGCUCUGUUCGCAUUGGAUGUCUAACCUCGAACAGUCAUCCUGUUCAGGGACAGUGCCUGGCGGGUAGUUUAACUGGGGCGGUUGCCUCCCAAAGAGUAACGGAGGCGCCCAAAGGUCC